rnacentral:rRNA from 1 species
GAUGAACGCUAGCGGCAGGCUUAAUACAUGCAAGUCGUGGGGCAGCAGGUCCGUAGCAAUACGGAUGCUGGCGACCGGCAAACGGGUGCGUAACACGUACGCAACCUUCCUUCAGGCGGGGAAUAGCCCGGGGAAACCCGGAUUAAUACCCCAUAAAAUCUUGGAAUGGCAUCAUUCUAUUAUUAAAGCUUCGGCACCUGAUGAUGGGCGUGCGGCUGAUUAGGUAGUUGGCGGGGAACGGCCCACCAAGCCAGCGAUCAGUAGCUGAUGUGAGAGCAUGAUCAGCCACACGGGCACUGAGACACGGCCCAGACUCCUACGGGAGGCAGCAGUGGGGAAUCUUGCGCAAUGGGCGAAAGCCUGACGCAGCGACGCCGCGUGAGGGAUGACGG